CCUCAUUAAUCCUGCCAGUAGCACAUGCUUGUCUCAAAUAUUAAGCCAUGCAUGUGUAACUACACAUGGCUGUUACAGUGAAACUGCAAAUGGCUCAUUAAAUCAGUUAUGGUUCCUUUGAUAACUUCAUCUGUUACUUGGAUAACUGUGGUAACUCUAGAGCUAAUACAUGCCGACAAGCACUGACCUCCCAUGGGUGCAUGCAUUUAUCAGAUGAAGACCAAUCCGGGCUUGCACGGCCGCUGUGGUGACUCUAGAUAACCUUGGGCCGAUUGCAUGUGACAGCGAUGAUACAUUCAGAUGUCUGCCCUAUGAAAUUUCAAUGGUACUUUCUGUGCCUACCAUGGUGACCAAGGGUAACAGGGAAUCAGGGUUCGAAUCCCGAGAGGCACCCUGAGAAAUGGCUACCACAUCAAAGGAAAGCAGCAGACAUGGAAAUUACCCCCUCCUGACUCAGUGAGGUAGUGACGGAAAAUAAAAAUACAGGACUCUUUCUUUAACCAUGAUACAUUGGAGGGCAAGUCUGGUGCCAGUAGCUGCCAUAAUUCCAGCUCCAACAUCGUAUGUUAAAGAUGCUGCAGUUAAAAAGCUCAUCGUUUGCACUUGGAAUCGAGCUGGUAGUCGACCGUGAGGUGAGCUACCGCCUUUUCCCAGCCCCUGCCUCUCGGCGCCCCCUUGAUGUUCUUGACUGAGUGUCCAGGGGGCCGAAGCAUUAACUUUGAUCAAAUUAGAGUGUUUAGAGCAGGCUGGUUGUCUGAAUACUUCAGCUAGGAAUAAUAGAAUAGGACUCCGGGUCUAUUUUGUUGGUUUUAGGAACUAGGGCCAUUGAGGCCAUGAUUAGGAGAGAUGGCCGGGGGGCAUUCGGGCCACUAAAGGAGAAAUUCUACGACCGGUGCAAGACGAACCAAAGUGAAAACAUUUGCCAAGAAUGUUUUAAUUAAUCAAGAACGAAAGUCAGAAGUUCGAAGACAAUCAAAUACCAUUGUAGUUCCGACCAUAAACGAUGCCGACAAGUGAUCCAGUAACAUUAUUCCCAUUAACCGCCGAGCAGUGCCAGGAAAAACAAAGUCUUUGGGUUCCAGAGGACUAUGGUUGCAAAGCUGAACCUUCAAGGAAUUCACAGAAGGGCACCACCAGGAGUAUUUCCUGCGGCUUAAUUUGACUAAAAAAUGGGAACCUCACCCGGCCCAGACACGGAAAGGUCUGACAGAUUGAUAGCUCUUUGUUGAUUUUUUUGGGUGGUGGUGCAUUGCGGUUCUUAUUUGUUGGAGAGAUUUGUCUAGUUAAUUCCGAUAAGCAAUGAGACUCCUCCAUGCUAAUUAGUUACUUGACCCACAGCGUUCGGCAUUCAACUUCUUAGAGGGACAAAUGGCAUUCAGCCACACGAGCAAUAACAGGUCUGUGAUGCCCUUAGAUGUUAGGGUUUGCACACACACUACACUGAAUGGAUCAUUGUGUGUCUACCCUUUGCCGACAGCUGUGGGUAACGCACUGAACCCUGUUCGUCAUAGGCAUUGGGGAUUACAAUUAUUUCCCAUGAACAAGAAUUCACAGUAAGUGUGGGUCAUAAGCUUGUGCUGCCUAAGUCCCUGGCCUUUGUACACAAAGCCCAUCGCUACUACCGAUUGGAUGGUUAAAUUAGAUCCCCAGAUCGGCCUGGAGGAGCACUGAGAAGACAAACAAACUUGACUAUAUAAAAGGAAGCAAAAGUCAUAACAAGGUUUCCGUAGGUUAAACUGCGGAAG
rnacentral:rRNA from 1 species